CUCCUGAGCUCAAGCAACCUGCCCACCUCAGCCUCCCAAAGUGCUGGGAUUACAGGUGAACUGGACAUCUCUUCUGCUGGUUCCAUCUGGGUUCACCCAUGGGUGGGCCCCACUCUGCAAGAGGGUCCAUAGGGCUGGACCGUCCAGGUUACUGCUGGCAAUGGUCCUGCUGGUGGCUCUGUCCCUGCUUCAUUCAGGUUGCUCUUCUCCAGCCUCCCAUGGUCCCCUCCUCACGGCUCUCCCAGUGCUUCCUCAGCACCUUUCCAGCUUCCACCUGAUGCCUGCUUUGAAAACCAGGUCAAAGUUUCAGCUCCUCUUUCUUCAAAUCGCCUUUAACCUCAGUCAGAAUGCCAGUCUUCGC
rnacentral:lncRNA from 1 species